AACGCUGGCGGCGUGCCUAAUACAUGCAAGUAGAACGCUGAAGGAGGAGCUUGCUCUUCUGGAUGAGUUGCGAACGGGUGCGUAGCGCGUAGGUAACCUGCCUGGUAGCGGGGGAUAACUAUUGGAAACGAUAGCUAAUACCGCAUAACAGUAGAUGUUGCAUGACAUUUACUUAAAAGGUGCAAUUGCAUCACUACCAGAUGGACCUGCGUUGUAUUAGCUAGUUGGUGGGGUAACGGCUCACCAAGGCGACGAUACAUAGCCGACCUGAGAGGGUGAUCGGCCACACUGGGAAUGGGACACGGCCCAGACACCUACGGGAGGCAGCAGUAGGGAAUCUUCGGCAAUGGACGGAAGUCUGACCGAGCAACGCCGCGUGAGUGAAGAAGGUUUUCGGAUCGUAAAGCUCUGUUGUAAGAGAAGAACGAGUGUGAGAGUGGAAAGUUCACACUGUGACGGUAUCUUACCAGAAAGGGACGGCUAACUACGUG
rnacentral:rRNA from 1 species